AUACAGAGGGUGCAAGCGUUAAUCGGAUUUACUGGGCGUAAAGCGCGCGUAGGUGGCUAAUUAAGUCAAAUGUGAAAUCCCCGAGCUUAACUUGGGAAUUGCAUUCGAUACUGGUUAGCUAGAGUAUGGGAGAGGAUGGUAGAAUUCCAGGUGUAGCGGUGAAAUGCGUAGAGAUCUGGAGGAAUACCGAUGGCGAAGGCAGCCAUCUGGCCUAAUACUGACACUGAGGUGCGAAAGCAUGGGGAGCAAACAGGAUUAGAUACCCUGGUAGUCCAUGCCGUAAACGAUGUCUACUAGCUGUUGGGGCCCUUGAGGCUUUAGUGGCGCAGCUAACGCGAUAAGUAGACCGCCUGGGGAGUACGGUCGCAAGACUAAAACUCAAAUGAAUUGACGGGG
rnacentral:rRNA from 1 species